rnacentral:rRNA from 1 species
AUUGAACGCUGGCGGCAUGCCUAACACAUGCAAGUCGAACGGGCUUUGUGAGCAAUCAUGGAGCUAGUGGCGGACGGGUGAGUAAUGCGCAGGGAUCUGCCUUAAAGAGUGGGACAACUCGGGGAAACUCGGGCUAAUACCGCAUAAUGUCUGAGGACCAAAGCUGGGGACCGCAAGGCCUGGCGCUUUAAGAGGAACCUGCGUCCGAUUAGCUAGUUGGUAGGGUAAAGGCCUACCAAGGCGACGAUCGGUAGCUGGUCUGAGAGGAUGACCAGCCACACUGGGACUGAGACACGGCCCAGACUCCUACGGGAGGCAG